GACGAACGCGGCGGCGUGCUUAACACAUGCAAGUCGAACGAAGAGCGAUGGAAGCUUGCUUCUAUCAAUCUUAGUGGCGAACGGGUGAGUAACGCGUAAUCAACCUGCCCUUCAGAGGGGGACAACAGUUGGAAACGACUGCUAAUACCGCAUACGAUCUAAUCUCGGCAUCGAGGAUAGAUGAAAGGUGGCCUCUACAUGUAAGCUAUCACUGAAGGAGGGGAUUGCGUCUGAUUAGCUAGUUGGAGGGGUAACGGCCCACCAAGGCGAUGAUCAGUAGCCGGUCUGAGAGGAUGAACGGCCACAUUGGGACUGAGACACGGCCCAGACUCCUACGGGAGGCAGCAGUGGGGAAUCUUCCGCAAUGGACGAAAGUCUGACGGAGCAACGCCGCGUGAGUGAUGACGGCCUUCGGGUUGUAAAGCUCUGUUAAUCGGGACGAAAGGCC
rnacentral:rRNA from 1 species